rnacentral:pre_miRNA from 1 species
CAGUACACUCAUCCAUAAAGUAGGAAACACUACACUUGGGCACAGGCGUUUAGUAGUGCUUUCUACUUUAUGGAUGAGUCCACUGU